ensembl:snoRNA SNORA74 Small nucleolar RNA SNORA74
CCCAGCUGUAGGCAACUGCUUAAGUUACCUCAUACUUACGCAAGAGUUACGCUGCUGGGAGAAAAGCAGCCAAUAGUUGGCAGGCAAUCUGGGACUGGUUAAUGCCAACUUGGAUUAACUAUACCAGUGUGCUAGCCUAGUUGCCUAUUUU